rnacentral:rRNA from 1 species
UACGUAGGGUGCGAGCGUUGUCCGGAAUUAUUGGGCGUAAAGAGCUCGUAGGCGGCUUGUCGCGUCGGAUGUGAAAGCCCGGGGCUUAACUCCGGGUCUGCAUUCGAUACGGGCAGGCUAGAGUUCGGUAGGGGAGAUCGGAAUUCCUGGUGUAGCGGUGAAAUGCGCAGAUAUCAGGAGGAACACCGGUGGCGAAGGCGGAUCUCUGGGCCGAUACUGACGCUGAGGAGCGAAAGCGUGGGGAGCGAAUGGG